GGUGGAUUGCCGCAGCAGCCGACCGGACCCGACUGUAAAUCGGGUGCAUCACGCCGCGCAGGUGCAAAUCCUGCAUCCACCA
rnacentral:tRNA from 2 species